rnacentral:rRNA from 1 species
GCCUACGGGACGCAGCAGUGGGGAAUUUUGGACAAUGGGCGCAAGCCUGAUCCAGCUAUUCCGCGUGUAGGAUGACGGCCCUCGGGUUGUAAACCACUUUAGUAGAGAACGAAAAGGAGCUAUCGAAUAAAUAGCUCUGCUGACGGUACUCUAAGAAUAAGCACCGGCUAACUACGUGCCAGCAGCCGCGGUAAUACGUAGGUGGCAAGCGUUAUCCGGAUUUAUUGGGCGUAAAGAGAACGCAGGCGGUCUUUUAAGUCUGAUGUGAAAGCCUUCGGCUUAACCGGAGUAGUGCAUUGGAAACU